CUACGGGAGGCAGCAGUGGGGAAGUAUUGCACAAUGGGCGCAAGCCUGAUGCAGCAACGCCGCGUGAGGGACGACGGCCUUCGGGUUGUAAACCUCUUUAGUAGGGAAGAAGCGAAAGUGACGGUACCUGCAGAAAAAAGCACCGGCUAACUACGUGCCAGCAGCCGCGGUAAUACGUAGGGUGCAAGCGUUAUCCGGAAUUAUUGGGCGUAAAGAGCUCGUAGGCGGUUUGUCGCGUCUGCUGUGAAAACUGGAGGCUCAACCUCCAGCCUGCAGUGGGUACGGGCAGACUAGAGUGCGGUAGGGGAGAUUGGAAUUCCUGGUGUAGCGGUGGAAUGCGCAGAUAUCAGGAGGAACACCGAUGGCGAAGGCAGAUCUCUGGGCCGUAACUGACGCUGAGGAGCGAAAGCAUGGGGAGCGAACAGGAUUAGAUACCCUGGUAGUCCAUGCCGUAAACGUUGGGAACUAGAUGUAGGGACCAUUCCACGGUUUCUGUGUCGCNGACUACGACAUACGUUACCGUCCGUCGGAGGUACGGCCGCGACGACGUAAACGUUAAAGUAGUAGUUAGUUAGUCGUUGAGAGNGCGACGGACGACGACGAGGAGGAGG
rnacentral:rRNA from 1 species